rnacentral:rRNA from 1 species
UGGCUCAGGACGAACGCUGGCGGCGUGCCUAAUACAUGCAAGUCGAGCGCAGGAAGCUCACGGAACUCUUCGGAGGGAAGUGAAGGGAAUGAGCGGCGGACGGGUGAGUAACACGUAAGGAACCUGCCCCAAGGAUUGGGAUAACUCCGAGAAAUCGGAGCUAAUACCGAAUAGUUCUUCAGACCGCAUGGUCUGAUGAUGAAAGGCGCUCCGGCGUCACCUUGGGAUGGCCUUGCGGUGCAUUAGCUAGUUGGUGGGGUAAUGGCCCACCAAGGCGACGAUGCAUAGCCGACCUGAGAGGGUGAUCGGCCACACUGGGACUGAGACACGGCCCAGACUCCUACGGGAGGCAGCAGUAGGGAAUCUUCCACAAUGGACGAAAGUCUGAUGGAGCAACGCCGCGUGAGUGAUGAAGUUUUCGGAUCGUAAAACUCUGUUGUAAGGGAAGAACAAGUACGAGAGGUAAUGCUCGUACCUGAC